GAGAGCGAGUCACACAUCUCGAACAUGGCGAAACCCUUGCACGAAAACCGACGCCCCAUCGAGCACCACCUGCUCCACUGAUUGCACUAUCGUCGCACUGCACUACGCUCCCAACUACCGGCCUGCAGUUGCAGUCUCAACACUCCACCUGGCAACCUCAGGUGUCCACACAUCACGGCAACCAGCUGUCAUCCGCCACCCCUGUAUCUUCCUGUGAUAGCCUUUUUUACCAGGUCCUUUGAAAAUCAUUAUAUCAUCGAGACCCUAAAUAGCAACAAGAAACAAGUUCACUGACACCAAGGAGAAAAAAAUGGAUAACUUAACAGGGAACACAGUUGGAAGGCAAAGCACAGUUGGGUCCAUCAGGUAUGGGCAUGUCAAGCAAUCAAGAAGCAGAGCAGGAGGUGAUUUUUAAAGAAAUCCAUACCGGAAAUGGUAUGUGUCCUUAUUGUGGAUAUAUCAGCCAGCAAAAUCAACUGGUUCAUGUCUUGCGGAUGAAGAGGGGAGCAUGGAACAGUAUGUUUUGCUCUUUGAUGCACACUUGCUGCUGUGGCUGAGUCAUCCCUUCUGUCCUCACCUCAACCAGAGCCAAGCCAGCAAAGCCACUGUCCAUAUUCUGUCAGCAGUGCAGCGCACAUCACUGCAUUUUCCUUGUCCAGCCUGAACAUCAUUGCACCACCUUGUCUAUUGUUGGUCCCAACAGGCGACACACAAGCAUGGCAGAAGAUCUAGCAGUUCCUCAGAUGUUGGAGGUCUAACAAGGCAACCUCACCGAGAAGAGAAGCAUGAGGGGUUCAGUGGAUGUUGAGUGACCAAUUUGAUAAUGCUGCUGAGACUCCAACAGCUCCCACUGUGCCUGCAAGCAGCACCCAUUGUGCCUGCACCUGGUCAUGCAGAUGCCUUCACCUGCCCGUGCAGGAGGUGUCAUCUACAGUUUCAUUAAAAAUUGUGGGAGAUUUGUGAUUGACAACCUGCAAUAAAUUUUAGAUGAAAACAUGCGUUUCAUUAAUACUCUCUUGCCAGAAAACACCUUAGCUUCCCAGAAGAUAGGCACGCACCCCUAGUACCUCUUGUGGAACCCAGAAAGAGAGUAGACAGCUGUAAUUCGGCAAAAUAUUAAGCCCUAUAGCCCUCAGACUCACAGCUUCGAGCCCGAGGACUAGUAGCAUUUGACAACACACAAAACUCAGGACACGAGGAGACAGCACCAGACCGAUCUGAGAUGGUCAAGAUACCACUCUCAGAUUAUCGCCAGGACACGCAGAUACACUGAGUGGAGUCGAUGAAGCAGUUUACUACCUCAAUUACUGAGAGCGGCAAAUACAGACAUCCUCUCGUAGAGGCUAAUUCUAACCAGUAUGGCAGGAGCUUACCACCAAGAAAAUAAAAAAAAAAUUAUUGAUGAAAAGACCUCUAAAUAUUCCCAAAACCCUUGCAGUCUCUCUGUCUCUCUAUCUUCGCGUGCGUUAUCUCUCCUUGACCGCCAGACUCUCACUGAGGACUGGAAAAAUGUGAGCCCUUCACCGCCAGCGCUCUCCUCAGCUAACGGUCAUGUG